CCGCCUCUUCCCGGCGCAUGCGCGGCGGGGAGGGAGACGGGCGCGCGGUGCUGCGUGUGUGAGGGUGCGGGCUGGCGGCGCGGCGGGAGGGGGAGGAUCUAUCAUGGCGUCCAUGCAGAAAAGAUUACAAAAAGAACUAUUGGCAUUGCAAAAUGAUCCACCUCCAGGAAUGACUCUAAAUGAGAAGAGCGUGCAAAACUCAAUUACACAGUGGAUUGUAGACAUGGAAGGUGCUCCAGGAACGCUAUAUGAAGGGGAGAAAUUUCAGCUUCUAUUUAAGUUCAGUAGCCGAUAUCCUUUUGAUUCGCCUCAGGUCAUGUUUACUGGUGACAAUAUUCCUGUUCAUCCACAUGUUUAUAGCAAUGGUCAUAUCUGUUUGUCCAUUCUAACAGAAGACUGGUCUCCAGCUCUCUCAGUGCAAUCUGUUUGUCUUAGCAUUAUUAGCAUGCUUUCCAGCUGCAAAGAAAAGGUCUUUUUUUCUGUUGCAGAGGCGACCUCCGGAUAACUCAUUUUAUGUAAGAACAUGUAACAAGAAUCCAAAGAAAACAAAAUGGUGGUAUCAUGAUGACACAUGUUGAUGCCACCAUUUUGUGAUCCUCGUAGCAGAAGAUAGUCCUACUGAGAAAAUGAGCACUUUGAUCAUUCAGUCUUUGAACUUUAACCUUUGACUGGAAGUGACCUAUAGGCAAAGAAGACUACUUCCUUUGACUGCAUUUUUACUAGUGUGCAUUCUGGGCGCAUGUUGAUCGCUGGUUCAGUCCAUGCAACUGACAUGCUUUUAUUAGUCAUACAGUAUUAAUGCAGGUGUCCAGAAAUGUCAGAAUAAUUCCAUUAUUUUUAUUUUAAGCUUUUGGAAGAAUUCCAGGUCUUCAUAUAUUGUGCAAUAACACUGAACUCCUUGGCGGUUUUGGUGCAUCCAUUGCCGGCAAUGGACAUUGUACCAGGGAAAGGUUUUGCUCCUGCCACAAAAAGAUUGAUGCGUAAUAGAACUUAGGAAAGUUUCAGAUAUUUGAAUUAUAAGCAAGGGAUCUACCUUUACCUUAAAAGCCACCCCAUUCUUUUGUAUUUGGAUUCUAUGCACUGUGAUCACAAAACUAGCAGCAUGAGUUAACAUGCUUAGCUGAAGGACUGUAAUAAGAUCAUUGCAUAUUUAUUAAAUUGUUUGUCUGCUGUCAAAUUGUUUUGACAUGGAAGGUUUUUCAAGUGACAUUGGCAGGGAGGUACAAUGUUAUCCCUAUGGUGAAAUAAAACUACUUUUUGUAUAUAGUUAUUCAUAUCUCUGAAGCAAAGGUAUGAGUAAUUUAGGGUAUGAAUGAUUUAAUCAAGAAUUUAUUUUGGAGAUAAGAGAGGAUGGCAGUGAUAUAAACUGAACUUGCUGCAGUCCAUAAUUGGGCUUGUAAUUUGUACUUUAGAGCUUUUUCCAAAUAGAUUGCACACUGUUAUUUCCUGCUAGCCAUCAGCAUGAGCCCUACUGCCUACACCAAUAUUUCAUUUAUUUAUGUGUUUGAAAGAAAUCAUAUAACAUUUUUGUUUGCAUUCACUGUUUCUUUUGUUGUUGUAUGUCAUGUUUGAAUGUUACAAAAUAUUUUGAUUGAAAAGCUUUGUCAGAAGAUAUUUUCAUGUAAAUUAUUUCUUUACCUUGUAAGCAUCAUCUUGUCUUUUAAUCCUGUACUAUAAAAAGAAAAAAAAAAUACAUUUUUGACAGAGGCUUAAUGUUUUGACAAAAAAGUGUGGACCUUCUUAUUUAAGUUUAGACUAAAUUAUAUUUUCUUAUCUUGCUUGUCCCUCACAACCAUUAUGUUUUGUUUUGUUUUUCUUCCAGGCUUUUACUUCACCCCUUCCUUCCCCUCUCCCCUCCCCCCCAAAAAGAAAAAGAUGAAAAAGCCUAAAACCAGAUUGAUGUAUUUUCUAUGGAGCAACAUUUUAUUGAAAUAGAUAGUUGUUCUCACCACUCUGUAAUAUUUUGAUACUUCAAUUAGGUUAUCUUUUUAGGAAGCACUUUUAUAAACUUAAUACCUUUACACGUAUGCAAAAUUUCUAUGACUUUUUUUUUUUUACUGUUGCCUUAUUGUUGCACUCAAAAAUAAAGAAUCAAGUGGUCAAUAUGUGAAUGUUUAGAUGAAGCAACUACUUGAUUAAAAAUGAAACAAAACCAGAAAAUUAACAGUGACACAACCCAGAAAGAAUAACUAGAAAAAGAAACAAACAAAAUUGGCUGAUAGUACUGAAUUUUGUAACUGCUGUAUAAUAACUGACAAAUUUUAUAGCCUUGUACAUACUUCUCUGUUAUCUAAUGUUCAAAAAAUUUUUACAAAUCACAGAAGCAUAACUCAGGGUGGAUAGAGUUCAAAUGGAUUUGCUUGGGAGAAGUAUUUUGUACAGCAAUUAUUGAUAUUGUCAGUGAAGUGAGGCUAUGAUAUACUUCAGGAACUGCUAUUUUUUCUACUGUAUUGAAAAUAUCUCUUGGCCUUUAAAACUCUAAAAUGGUAAAAUCUAUAUAAAUUUGAUGUGUGUGUAUAUACUUUCACAAAGAGCCUUUAAAAUCUAGAAUUCAGAUUCUUUUAAGAGCCAAAAAUAAUCAUUUUAAGCAAAUGAAAUAGUUGUGCUCCUAACUUUUUAUUUAGAUAAAUUUUAUUGCUUUAAGUUAAUCAAAUCUGUUAUUUUUGGAAAUGUUUCAUAUGAAUGAGCAGUGAUCUGAAUAUUUAAGCUGUAUAUUCUUGUUAACUGCUCUUUAUUAUUGAUUGAAAGGAUUGUCACAUCUUUGAGAAAUUCAUGUAUUUUCAUACAACUGAUCCAGGUAACGGAUCCUUUCAGAUAGCCCACAGUGAAGAGACCUUAUCUCGAUACAAGGUAACGUGUCUGAAGAAAUGGUUAAAGCGCAUCUUCUCAGAUACUUAAACCUUUCCCUGUGCUGGAUUGCCAUUCUACAAUACAUGAUUUCAAAGAAGCUUUAUGACAUACUGUAUGUAUUCUUGUUGGAGAUGUAACUCAAAGCAUUAUGGUUUUUUUUGAUCUUUGCUAUCGCGUGGACUACGAUGAAGUUAACUAAAUUUAUGCUGCUCUUUAAUGAAAUCCUCUAUAAUAAGAGAAAAAUCCAAGGUAGAUUGGAGUUUACCUCAAGUCUUUUAGUUUACAGUAGAAAUGCAUUCAUUGGUUCUCUUGUAGAUCUGUUGGUAAGCUCUCCUAUAUACAGAGGGCAAGGACAAGGCCUAUAUACCACUCGAGCCCUCAAAAUAAUGCAACUAUUCUGACAGUGCUAUGGUGGGGGGUUUAAAUUAGAUGAAGCUGAUGCCAUCCUUUCCAUAGGGUGACCCUGUGUAUGUAACUUUCUCUCACUCGGAGUUUCUCACAUGAAAUGGUUACAGAAUUGGCUUGAAAUGAUCUUGCUUUUAUCUUGUGUCAAUGUUAAUGUUGUUAAACACUUUGUUUUUGUGUUUAGUGUCUUUAUACUAUAACACAAUAAAUUCUUGUUUUAAAAUAGAUUACUACCCUUGAAUAUAAGUACGCGUGGACCUUUUCAUGGUGGAGUGCAGGAGCGUUGUGCAUUACGUUCAGCUGCUCUUGAGACAAAGCUGUUUGUACUUCCUAAAAGCUGUGAUGGAUAUCCAGGAAGGGAUUUCUGUAGUACUGAGGUAUCUCUUCUUUCCUCCAGACAACACCUGUUGCAAAGCUGAAGAAAAUGAUAUCUUUAGAAAACAAAACAAAAACUUAAGAUAGAAUAAAUAAAGGAGCUGUGAGAUUACUUUUCUCAUAGAUUUUUAAGUA